GAUGAACGCUGGCGGCGUGCCUAAUACAUGCAAGUCGAGCGAACGGACGCGAAGCUUGCUUCUCUGUUGUUAGCGGCGGACGUGUGAGUAACACGUGGAUCCCCUCCCUAUCAUUCUGGGAUCUCUUCGGGAAUCCGGCUCUUAUCCCGUAUAAUCUUUUGCUCCGUAUUGUUCAUUAGUGAAAGUCGGUCUUUCUGUCUCUUCUCGCUGGUUCCGCGCUGCAUUAGCUAGUUGGUACGGUAACGGCUUACCAAGGCAACGAUGCAUAGCCGACCUGAGAGGGUGAUAGGCCACACUGGAGGUGAGACAGGGUCCAGACGCCUAAGGGAGGCAGCAGUAGGGAAUCUGACGCAAUGGGCGAAAGCCUGACGGAGCAACGCCGCGUGAGUGAUGGAGGUCUUCGGAUCGUAAAAAUCUGUUAUGAGGGAAGAACAGAUGUGUAAGUAACUGUGCACAGAGUGACGGUACCGAAUCAGAAAGCCGCGGCUAACUACGUG
rnacentral:rRNA from 1 species